rnacentral:rRNA from 1 species
AUUGAACGCUGGCGGCAGGCUUAACACAUGCAAGUCGGGCGGAGAUGAGGUGCUUGCACCUUAUCUUAGCGGCGGACGGGUGAGUAAUGCUUAGGAAUCUGCCUAUUAGUGGGGGACAACAUUCCGAAAGGAAAGCUAAUACCGCAUACGUCCUACGGGAGAAAGCAGGGGAUCUUCGGACCUUGCGCUAAUAGAUGAGCCUAAGUCGGAUUAGCUAGUUGGUGGGGUAAAGGCCUACCAAGGCGACGAUCUGUAGCGGGUCUGAGAGGAUGAUCCGCCACACUGGGACUGAGACACGGCCCAGACUCCUACGGGAGGCAGCAGUGGGGAAUAUUGGACAAUGGGGGGAACCCUGAUCCAGCCAUGCCGCGUGUGUGAAGAAGGCCUUAUGGUUGUAAAGCACUUUAAGCGAGGAGGAGGCUACUGAGACUAAUACUCUUGGAUAGUGGACGUUACUCGCAGAAUAAGCACCGGCUAACUCUGUGCCAGCCGCCGCAGUAAAAC